GCUCAGGAUGAACGCUGGCGGCGUGCCUAAUACAUGCAAGUCGAACGAGUUCUCGUUGAUGAUCGGUGCUUGCACCGAGAUUCAACAUGGAACGAGUGGCGGACGGGUGAGUAACACGUGGGUAACCUGCCCUUAAGUGGGGGAUAACAUUUGGAAACAGAUGCUAAUACCGCAUAGAUCCAAGAACCGCAUGGUUCUUGGCUGAAAGAUGGCGUAAGCUAUCGCUUUUGGAUGGACCCGCGGCGUAUUAGCUAGUUGGUGAGGUAAUGGCUCACCAAGGCGAUGAUACGUAGCCGAACUGAGAGGUUGAUCGGCCACAUUGGGACUGAGACACGGCCCAAACUCCUACGGGAGGCAGCAGUAGGGAAUCUUCCACAAUGGACGCAAGUCUGAUGGAGCAACGCCGCGUGAGUGAAGAAGGCUUUCGGGUCGUAAAACUCUGUUGUUGGAGAAGAAUGGUCGGCAGAGUAACUGUUGUCGGCGUGACGGUAUCCAACCAGAAAGCCACGGCUAACUACGUGCCAGCAGCCGCGGUAAUACGUAGGUGGCAAGCGUUAUCCGGAUUUAUUGGGCGUAAAGCGAGCGCAGGCGGUUUUUUAAGUCUGAUGUGAAAGCCCUCGGCUUAACCGAGGAAGCGCAUCGGAAACUGGGAAACUUGAGUGCAGAAGAGGACAGUGGAACUCCAUGUGUAGCGGUGAAAUGCGUAGAUAUAUGGAAGAACACCAGUGGCGAAGGCGGCUGUCUGGUCUGUAACUGACGCUGAGGCUCGAAAGCAUGGGUAGCGAACAGGAUUAGAUACCCUGGUAGUCCAUGCCGUAAACGAUGAAUGCUAGGUGUGGGAGGGUUUCCGCCCUUCAGUGCCGCAGCUAACGCAUUAAGCAUUCCGCCUGGGGAGUACGACCGCAAGGUUGAAACUCAAAGGAAUUGACGGGGGCCCGCACAAGCGGUGGAGCAUGUGGUUUAAUUCGAAGCAACGCGAAGAACCUUACCAGGUCUUGACAUCUUUUGAUCACCUGAGAGAUCAGGUUUCCCCUUCGGGGGCAAAAUGACAGGUGGUGCAUGGUUGUCGUCAGCUCGUGUCGUGAGAUGUUGGGUUAAGUCCCGCAACGAGCGCAACCCUUAUGACUAGUUGCCAGCAUUUAGUUGGGCACUCUAGUAAGACUGCCGGUGACAAACCGGAGGAAGGUGGGGAUGACGUCAAAUCAUCAUGCCCCUUAUGACCUGGGCUACACACGUGCUACAAUGGAUGGUACAACGAGUUGCGAGACCGCGAGGUCAAGCUAAUCUCUUAAAGCCAUUCUCAGUUCGGACUGUAGGCUGCAACUCGCCUACACGAAGUCGGAAUCGCUAGUAAUCGCGGAUCAGCACGCCGCGGUGAAUACGUUCCCGGGCCUUGUACACACCGCCCGUCACACCAUGAGAGUUUGUAACACCCGAAGCCGGUGGCGUAACCCUUUUAGGGAGCGAGCCGUCUAAGGUGGGACAAAUGAUU
rnacentral:rRNA from 1 species